CGAGUAAGUACAUCUUAGCUGAAGCUUCUGCUUUAUGUGAUUUCUUGGCUUUCAUGAUUUCAUUAUUGUUAAGCAAUUAGGAUUCAGAUGAUUGAGAUUCAAUAUGCUUAGCACACAACUACAUUCAUAGAAGGAACCUUUACUAACUUCUCCAAGGGUUUAUCAUCUUCUCUCCAUUGUGGUUAAAGAAGUUUCUCUGCCGAUGGUGUUCCAAUGCUGCCUAGUAGUUUAGUUGGAAAUAUGUCCCUUGUAGUGUCAUGAGUCUCAUGAGAGGGAAAAUUUUGGUGCAAGGCAUAUAUUUUGGUUCCUAGUUUCGGUGCCUGGAGUUGCUUUAACCAAUAGAUUAUUUCCAAGGCUACUAGGCUAAGUAAAAUUUCUAGGGACCCAACAUUCUACAUGCGAGUUCUUUUUAAUGUCAAUUUCACAAUUGAAUAUGAUUUAUGGCAAUUUCUUUCUUCUCUCAGCUCGUCAUUAAUCUCAAGAACCUUUUAUUGUAUAUGCCUAUGAAAUGUGUGCUCCUUGUCCAUUUUGCUGAAACUACUUUACCAUUUGCAGCUGUCAGCCAUGGAGAUUGGUAAGUACAAAAUACGAGUCAAUGCAGUUGCUCGUGGGUUGCAUUUAGAUGAUGAGUAUCCUCGAUCAGUGGGGAAGGAGAGGGCCGAGAAGUCCACGGCAGAUAUAAUGCCACUGAUGAGGUGGCUUGAUCCGAAGAAUGAUCUUGCUUCCACUGUGAUAUACCUGGUGGGCGAUGACUCCCGCUACAUG
rnacentral:lncRNA from 1 species